CCAGGAGAAGGUGGCCCAUGCCAGAGCCCAGCUCAGAGCAUCUCAAUCUCAGGCCUUGCCUCAUCUAUAUGCUCUUUUAUGUGCAGGUGCAGCCCACGUUGUGGUGUAAUGCAAAUCUAUGGCUAUACUGUAUCACAGCGAAUAAGUCCAUUUGGAGAAAAAGGCACCUGGUGAAAGGCCACAGUGCAAUGGAAUGCAAUGCUGCUAUGUGCAAUGCUGCUUACAAGAAAACUUUGGCAAAUGACCAGUGGAGGCAACCCGCGGACGGAGGAAAAGGGCAGGUCCCUGCAUCCAUCUCAGCGCCCUGCAGCCGGCGGCCUGUCCUUUCAGGCGGGAGUUCCCAGCGGCGUUCCUAGGUGUUUUGAAUGUGUGCCCCGGGGCUGGGGGAAGCCUCGUGCAGCUCUGCUGCUGUGGGAGGCAGGGGGGACUGGAGGGGACGGGAGCAGUGUGAGGCUUUCAUGUGCAGAGGGGACAUGAGGACAUCUGGACGGCAUCCCUGUGAGCAGGGCUCCCGCUGCAGGCCUUUGAAAACCCCGCUGCCCUGGCUCCCCAGUGCCUUGGAACUUUCUCCCUGGAGAAUGCAGAAAAGCCAGUGCCCUUGAUUUCUUAGACAUCUACAGCUUCGACACGUGCAGGGUUAUCCAGGAGCAGUGAGGUUUGGGGUGAGGGCCUGAGCACUUUCUGAAAAGUGCUUGUUUCUAAGAACCUGGAACUAUGAGUGAGCAGUGACAUGAGUUCUGCCCUCAAGUCCUCUGAUAACCAGCUGUGCAGUCUUGAACAAGUGACUUCAUCUCUUCAUCUUUAAAAUAAACCUUUUGGGCCAAAUGACUCGAAUGUUUUUCCAACUUCAUUUUUUUUUUUUUUUUUUUUACUGUUUAACAGAAAUGCUGAUUGAACUUGGGCUGGGAACAAAGAAAUCUUUUCUAAUUAGAGUAGAAAUGAUGACUAAUAUACUGCUCAAGCUUCUGAGGCUCAUUGGGAUCAAAGGCACACUCACUCUGAUAAGGGAGGGCACUGACCGGGCUGCUGACUGCUUCCACCAGCCUUCGGGUUUUAACAUCUAACUACAGUUAUGCCCAUGCAUGCUGGCCAUGUGCUAGACACACGCUUCCUUGUCUUUGCUGAAGUCUAGUGGCUUUGGGGUUAUUUGUAUUUUUUAACAGGAGAAACCUGAGAGAUCCUAAGUAGAUAUCAGGCAAGAGCUUGUCUAGUUCCAUGUUUUGUUUUGUAUGUUUUGUUUUGAGAUAGGGUCUUGCUCUGUCACCUAGGUUGGAUCUCAGUGGUGCAACUGUGGCCCACCGUAGCCUCGAACUCCCGGCCCAAGUCAUCCUCACAUCUCAGCCUCCUGAGUAGCUGGGACAACAGGCGUGUGCUUCCUGGCUACUUUUUUUUUUUUUUUUUUUGUAGAAACAGGGUUUUGCCACGUUGCCCAGGCUGGUCUCAAAUUCCUGGGCUCAAGCGAUUUGCCCUCCUCAUUCUCCAAAUGUGCUAGGAUUACAGGCAUGAGCCACCGAACCCAGUCCACUUCCAUGGAUUUUAAAAAUGUUAAACACCUACCUUUAAGAAAGAUGAUGAGGCAAUAUCACCUUUGUUUUUGUUGCUGUCUAUCAGAGAGAAUGACUCCUAAGGAGUCAUUCCUAUGAGUCUUGCAGAGUGAUUUUCUGUUUGUUCAGCUCCUUCACAGAGUCUUGGUUGGACAGCUCCCUGUCACCUUCCCCGACAGGGCCUUGCCUUUGAAAAGGCUAAUUCUGGUAGACAGGCAGCUUCAACAGGAAGUGGCACACCAAGGACCAUCGCUUUUGGAUGUGGUUCAUGGGAUGUGGAGUGUCCAAGGAGAUGCUGAUAGGCCUAAAGAUCAGAGAUCAUUUGACUUCGGUAGAUUAUCAAAAGAGAACACAACACAAUUGCAAAUGGACUUUAAAAUGAGAGAAAAUCAAAUUUCUAGUGACAAUCAUAAAAAUGCCACAAUCCACCAUGGACAGCCACACCACCAACCUAGUCAUUUUUUAUAUUUCUAGCUUGUACUUAAUCCAUUCCAGCAUGGAACAAAACGCUACCAGUGUUCU
rnacentral:lncRNA from 1 species